GUUUUCGGAACCGUCAGCAGAUGCGGCUUCCUUUACCUGAAUAAUCCUUUAAAGGAGUAAUAAUUUUUAAAAAGGAGCUCGACCUCAGCCAAAGAGGACGGCGCACGAGAUUAGGGCUUGUAGAUCCACUGCCUUUGGUUGGGCCGGCUGAAUCGCUGGGGACUGCGGCCAGUCUCUUAAAAAAGGAGAACAAAAAGCCGAAGACCUUGUGUGGCCGCCGGGACAAAGCACCUUGGGUUCGGCGAGAAGGGACGCGCAGGAGCGCUGAACCCAGAACACGCGUGGCCGCUGCGGAAGGGCGUCCGCCCGGCGUGCGGAACGCUGAGGGGACUCUCAUCCUCUGUCUCGCCCCCUUUUUUUGACCCGGGGAUCCAGCCGCAUUAUACACGAGUGACCUUUUAAAUCUACGUCCACCCUUUACCUGGACUGCAGCAGGCGAGUUCCGGAAGGCUGAAUCCCCAGGUCCCAGCCCCGGACCGCGGCAACUCGCCCCUGCGGCACGCCCGGCCCGGCUGCGCCCCCACUCAGCGAUGGAGGAAAAAGCCUGGAUGCGAAAGGAUGGGGGAGAACAAAGAGCCUUUGGAAGACGUCGCUGUUAUCUCAUUGUCUGUGUGAUUGGGGGAGCUGCGGCGGGGAGGAUGCUGUGGUCCCUUCCUCCGGCGUUCCCCACCCCCAUCCCUCUCCCCGCUGUCAGUGCGCACGCACACGCGCCGCUUUUUAUUUCUUUUUCCUGGUUUUCUUAUUCCAUCUUCUACCCACCCCUCUUCCUUUCUUUCACCUUUCCUUCCUUCCUUCCUCCUUUCCUUCCUCAGGAGAAAGGCCUCUCUCU
rnacentral:lncRNA from 1 species